AUUGAACGCUGGCGGCAUGCUUUACACAUGCAAGUCGAACGGAGUGGCGGACGGGUGAGUAAUCUAUCGGAACGUGCCCAAUAGAGGGGGAUAACUACUCGAAAGAGUGGCUAAUACCGCCUACCAUUGGAGCGGCCGAUAUCGGAGUAGCGAGUUGGUGGGGUAACGGCUCAACAAGGCAACGAUCCGUAGCUGGUGUGAGAGGAUGACCAGCCACACUGGGACUGAGACACGGCCCAGACUCCUACGGGAGGCAGCAGUGGGGAAUCUUGGACAAUGGGCGAAAGCCUGACCCAGCAACGCCGCGUGUGUGAUGAAGGCAUUCGGGUUGUAAAGCACUUUUGGCAGAGAAGCGUUAUCUGCAGAAGAAGCACCGGCUAACUACGUGCCAGCAGCCGCGGUAAUAC
rnacentral:rRNA from 1 species